GUCUACGACCAUGCCACCCUCAAUGUGCCCGAUCUCAUCGGAUCUCGGAAGCUAAGGGUAGGGUCUGGUUAGUACUUGGAUGGGAAGAGAUCAAGACCAUUCUGGCCA
rnacentral:rRNA from 1 species